rnacentral:rRNA from 1 species
GACGAACGCUGGCGGCGUGCUUAACACAUGCCAGUCGAACGAGAGCGUAGAGAAAGCUUGCUUUUUCUACAAUCUAGUGGCAAACGGGUGAGUAACGCGUAAACAACCUGCCCUACGGAUGGGGACAACAGCUGGAAACGGCUGCUAAUACCGAAUACGUUCCGAAAGUCGCAUGACUAUCGGAAGAAAGGAUGGCCUCUAUUUAUAAGCUAUCGCCGGAGGAGGGGUUUGCGUCUGAUUAGCUAGUUGGAGGGGUAACGGCCCACCAAGGCGACGAUCAGUAGCCGGUCUGAGAGGAUGAACGGCCACAUUGGAACUGAGACACGGUCCAGACUCCUACGGGAGGCAGCAGUGGGGAAUCUUCCGCAAUGGGCGAAAGCCUGGCGGAGCAACGCCGCGUGAGUGAAGACGGCCUUCGGGUUGUAAAGCUCUGUUAUACGGGACGAAUAAUCUUGUGGUUAAUACCCAUGAGAAGUGACGGUACCGUAAGAGAAAGCCACGGCUAACUACGUG